UACGUAGGGAGCAAGCGUUAUCCGGAUUCACUGGGUUUAAAGGGUGCGUAGGCGGGCAGGUAAGUCAGUGGUGAAAUCUCCGAGCUUAACUCGGAAACUGCCAUUGAUACUAUUUGUCUUGAAUAUUGUGGAGGUAAGCGGAAUAUGUCAUGUAGCGGUGAAAUGCUUAGAUAUGACAUAGAACACCAAUUGCGAAGGCAGCUUACUACACAAUGAUUGACGCUGAGGCACGAAAGCGUGGGGAUCAAACAGG
rnacentral:rRNA from 1 species